rnacentral:rRNA from 1 species
AGUGAACGCUGGCGGUAGGCCUAACACAUGCAAGUCGAACGGCAGCACAGUAAGAGCUUGCUCUUACGGGUGGCGAGUGGCGGACGGGUGAGGAAUACAUCGGAAUCUACUUUUUCGUGGGGGAUAACGUAGGGAAACUUACGCUAAUACCGCAUACGACCUACGGGUGAAAGCAGGGGAUCUUCGGACCUUGCGCGAUUGAAUGAGCCGAUGUCGGAUUAGCUAGUUGGCGGGGUAAAGGCCCACCAAGGCGACGAUCCGUAGCUGGUCUGAGAGGAUGAUCAGCCACACUGGAACUGAGACACGGUCCAGACUCCUACGGGAGGCAGCAGUGGGGAAUAUUGGACAAUGGGCGCAAGCCUGAUCCGGCCAUACCGCGUGGGUGAAGAAGGCCUUCGGGUUGUAAAGCCCUUUUGUGAAAGAAAAGCAGCAGGUUAAUACCCCGCUGUUCUGACGGUACCCAAAGAAUAAGCACCGGCUAACUUCGUG